rnacentral:rRNA from 1 species
UGGGGAAUUUUGGACAAUGGGCGAAAGCCUGAUCCAGCAAUGCCGCGUGUGUGAAGAAGGCCUUCGGGUUGUAAAGCACUUUUGUCCGGAAAGAAAUCCUUGGCUCUAAUACAGUCGGGGGGAUGACGGUACCGGAAGAAUAAGCACCGGCUAACUACGUGCCAGCAGCCGCGGUAAUACGUAGGGUGCAAGCGUUAAUCGGAAUUACUGGGCGUAAAGCGUGCGCAGGCGGUUUGCUAAGACCGAUGUGAAAUCCCCGGGCUCAACCUGGGAACUGCAUUGGUGACUGGCAGGCUAGAGUAUGGCAGAGGGGGGUUAGAAUUCCACGUGUAGCAGUGAAAUGCGUAGAGAUGUGGAGGAAUACCGAUGGCGAAGGCAGCCCCCUGGGGCCAAUACUGACGCUCAUGCACGAAAGCGUGGGGGAGCAAACAGGAUUAGAUACCCUGGUAGUCCACGCCCUAAACGAUGUCAACUAGUUGUUGGGGAUUCAUUUCCUUAGUAACGUAGCUAACGCGUGAAGUUGACCGCCUGGGGAGUACGGUCGCAAGAUUAAAACUUAAAUGAAUUGACGAGGUCAUAGCUGUUUCCU